ACAGGAAGAAGCUGCUUCUUUGCUGACGAGUGGCGGACGGGUGAGUAAUGUCUGGGAAACUGCCUGAUGGAGGGGGAUAACUACUGGAAACGGUAGCUAAUACCGCAUAACGUCGCAAGACCAAAGAGGGGGACCUUCGGGCCUCUUGCCAUCGGAUGUGCCCAGAUGGGAUUAGCUAGUAGGUGGGGUAACGGCUCACCUAGGCGACGAUCCCUAGCUGGUCUGAGAGGAUGACCAGCCACACUGGAACUGAGACACGGUCCAGACUCCUACGGGAGGCAGCAGUGGGGAAUAUUGCACAAUGGGCGCAAGCCUGAUGCAGCCAUGCCGCGUGUAUGAAGAAGGCCUUCGGGUUGUAAAGUACUUUCAGCGGGGAGGAAGGGAGUAAAGUUAAUACCUUUGCUCAUUGACGUUACCCGCAGAAGAAGCACCGGCUAACUCCGUGCCAGCAGCCGCGGUAAUACGGAGGGUGCAAGCGUUAAUCGGAAUUACUGGGCGUAACGCGCACGCAGGCGGUUUGUUAAGUCAGAUGUGAAAUCCCCGGGCUCAACCUGGGAACUGCAUCUGAUACUGGCAAGCUUGAGUCUCGUAGAGGGGGGUAGAAUUCCAGGUGUAGCGGUGAAAUGCGUAGAGAUCUGGAGGAAUACCGGUGGCGAAGGCGGCCCCCUGGACGAAGACUGACGCUCAGGUGCGAAAGCGUGGGGAGCAAACAGG
rnacentral:rRNA from 1 species